GUGGCUGUAGCUCAGUUGGUCAGAGCGUCUGGUUGUGGCCCAGAAGGUCGCCGGUUCGAGACCGGUCAGUCACCCCA
rnacentral:tRNA from 1 species